CUACGGGAGGCAGCAGUGGGGAAUUUUGGACAAUGGGGGCAACCCUGAUCCAGCCAUGCCGCGUGAGUGAAGAAGGCCUUCGGGUUGUAAAGCUCUUUCGGCUGGGAAGAAAUCGCAUCUCCUAAUACGGGGUGUGGAUGACGGUACCAGCAUAAGAAGCACCGGCUAACUACGUGCCAGCAGCCGCGGUAAUACGUAGGGUGCGAGCGUUAAUCGGAAUUAGUGGGCGUAAAGCGUGCGCAGGCGGUUAUGUAAGACAGAGGUGAAAUCCCCGGGCUCAACCUGGGAACUGCCUUUGUGACUGCAUAGCUGGAGUGCGGCAGAGGGGGAUGGAAUUCCACGUGUAGCAGUGAAAUGCGUAGAGAUGUGGAGGAACACCGAUGGCGAAGGCAGCCCCCUGGGCCGAUACUGACGCUCAUGCACGAAAGCGUGGGGAGCAAACAGGAUUAGAAACCCGUGUAGUCC
rnacentral:rRNA from 1 species